CAAAAUGUAACGGAGGCGCCCAAAGGUUCCCUCAGCCUGGUUGGCAAUCAGGUGUCGAGUGCAAGUGCACAAGGGAGCUUGACUGUGAGACUGACAGGUCGAGCAGGGACGAAAGUCGGGACUAGUGAUCCGGCACCGGCAAGUGGAAGCGGUGUCGCUCAACGGAUAAAAGGUACCCCGGGGAUAACAGGCUGAUCUUCCCCAAGAGUCCAUAUCGACGGGAUGGUUUGGCACCUCGAUGUCGGCUCGUCGC
rnacentral:rRNA from 1 species